GACGAACGCUGACGGCGUGCUUAACACAUGCAAGUCGAAGGGAGUGGCGAACGGGUGAGUAACACGUGAGUAACCUGCCCUUUUCUUUGGGAUAAGCCUGGGAAACUGGGUCUAAUACUGGAUGGAUUGGGAUGGGCUCGCGGCUUAUCAGCUUGUUGGUGGGGUGAUGGGUUACCAAGGCUUUGACGGGUAGCCGGCCUGAGAGGGUGGUCGGUCACACUGGGACUGAGAUACGGCCCAGAAGCCGAAGGGGGGCAGCAGUGGGGGAUAUUGAACAAUGGGCGAAAGGCUGAUGCAGCGACGCUGCGUGGGGGAUGAAGGCUUUCAGGUUGUAAACCUCUUUCGCUAACGAACGGGUAGGUGGUGAAGAAGCGCCGGCUAACUACGUGCCAGCAGCCGCGGUAAUAC
rnacentral:rRNA from 1 species